GUGUGUAUUUUAUACAUUUUUUAUUUUUUUAUACAUUUUUAUACAUUUUCUUACUAAUAGGAAACCAGGAUUCCCAUAAAGAGGAGAAUGAAAGUGAGGAACUCCAAUACUUAAUAUUUUCCUUGUCCACUCCCAGUCUGGACCCUCACAGACAACAACAGAGGCAGUCGAACCCCCAGUCUCGUUCUGAACAAGAAGAAAAUGAUAAAGUGAUCUAUGCAAGCGUCUGCAAAACGUAAUAUGGAUAAUUGAUUCAAACUCAAUGAUUCAAAUGGAUAAAUGAAACAAAAAGCCCACAUUUAAAACUUGGCAUUUCAAGUCUGUUCAGUGCAACUCCAUUAGAGAUGGAAAAAGAUGAUCUGCAGAUCUUACCAAGAUCUUUUACUAUGUGAAUAUAUCUUUCUUGCUAAAGGCAGCUUUUACACGCAUCUUAUAAUAUGUAGAUUUUCACUGUGAAGAGUACAGUUGUAUUCAGGAAAAUAUAAAUGCCUGCGCAUUUUUUAAUAUUGUUUUCUUUUUUAUUUUUUUUUGUAGUUUUUUGUUUGACUGUGUUCAGAAAAAAUUGUUUUCCAGUUUGUCGAUUAUUCAAUAUAUUAACAGCAGGGAGGGAUAUUGUUCAAGAAUUAAACAACGGCCCCAAAACGUACGUAUGUAUGUGCAGGGUAGUAGUGUCUGGCUAUGGUGGUGUGCUCUUCAGUGUGCUUUUAUCUGUUGUUAAGAAAUAUACUUUUUAUUUUUAAUAAUAAAGCAGCUGUAACAGGAACUACAUUAGUCAUUAUAUGACAAUUAUUGACUGUGCCACUGACAGCACAUGCAGCGUCUUCUGGGCCAAACCGUGUGAGAUUUCUCUGUCCCUCAGCCCCAGUGUCACUGCAGGCAGAGCAGAUAAAGGUGAGUCCUGAUUACCUGGCUGCCUACAGCUGUGACUGCAAGGGAUUUGCUCCCUUCCUGAUUUCCUCUAUUAUUCCAUAUUCGUCAAACGGAAUUGUUUCAGACCUUCAGACAAAUUUUUAUAUUAGACAAAGGGAAACUGAGUAAACAUAAAAGACAUUUUUAAAAAUGAUUUUGUUGAUUUAAUGAAACAAAGUUCUCAAACACCCAUGUUGCCCAUGUGAGAAUGUACUUUCCCUUAGUUAAUCUAUCGACCAAUUAACCAAAUUUUAUUGAUAGCUAGAUUCAGCUGAUUGCACUAAGGCAGGCUUGGUUGCAGCCAGUCAUUGCAAGGUUUCUACAAGUACGCUAUGCCACGAUCAAAGGAAAUUCCAGAAGAGAGAGAUAAAAAAGAUCUUUUUGAAAUAUAUCAGUCUGGAAAGGGUUACAAAGCCAUUUCUAAGGCUCUUGGACUCCACCAAACCACAGUGAGAGCCAUUAUCUCCAAAUGGAGAACACUUGGAACAGUGGUGAAUCAUCCCUGGAGUUGCUGGCCAGCCAAAAUUCCUCCAAGAGCACAGCGACAACUCAUCCAUGAAAUCAUCAAAGAUCCCAGAAGAAAGUCCAAAGAACUGCAGGCCUCUCUAGCCUCAGCUAAGGUCAGUGUUCAUGACUCCACAACAAGAAAGAGACUGGGUAAGAAUGGGAUUCAUGGGAGAAUACUGAGGCUGAAACCAGCAUUUCAUGCUUGAAAAUGAUCAAUUUGUCUGAAUAAAAGCAGUUCUGCAAAAAAGGAGUGGGUUCAAAUUCCCCCACAGUGAUGUGAAAGACUGAUAUCGAAUUAUAGGCAGCGUUUGGUUGUCGUUAUUGCUGCUAAGGAUGGAGCAACCAAUAAUUAAGUUUCAGGGGGUGAUUAGUUUUUCACAUGGGUGAUAUGUGUUUGAUAACUUAUUUCAUUAAACAGUCCCUUCUUAACUGCAGACCUGGCUGAGCUGUCAGCAGAUUUCUGCAGUAGUCGUUGAGGUGUAAGAUCAGAAAUGUGUUAUUUGAAUGUUCCCAAGUGAACAUUCUAAUGCUGAUGUAAUAAUCAUUUCUGGCCAUUGAAAGCAAUGUUCUAGAACACUGACCAGGAAAUCUGACGAAGCGUUCCAAAAACAACCUUUUCUUAAAAAGGUUUUAUUUCACAAAGGUGGGGAGUAGGGGAGGGCCUGUCCAUUUAUAAUUUUAUAAGCAAGACAAACGUCUGCACUUCGUGCAAUGUGUUUUCCAAGCUCAGCCAGUUAAUAAGUGCCUUAUUUGGACAUAGCAGUGGUGAGGGUUAUUUGAUCUUAAGGGUUUAUUUGCACACAGACUCAAUAGAUUUCAGUCUGAUUUGAAUUGCCUGCACCCAGCUAGUCAAUAAGUAUGUCAGAUGAGGGAGGAUCAUUGUGAUCAUUUUGCAGCUUCAGUGGUCAAACUGUUCCUAAUAGACCUCAAAUUUGACAGGUUAAUUUCUACUCGAAUGGCCACCUUUUUACCUGUUUUUUGUUUAAGAAGAGUUGAGAAUCAAUUGUGAUUCCAAAGUAUUUAACUCAGUGACUACCUUGAAUUUCUCUCCAGAUACACAGACUUCUGCUUCUGCCUCUUUUUUGAAAAACAUGCAGUCAAGUGCAUUCAUAUGUUAAACAAUUUGUCUGCCACAAGGGAUUAAAAUCUUUUACAUAAAUUUAUUGAUAAACACUUCACUCCUGAUGAUAUUUCAAUAUCAUUUCUGUGAGCAAUAAAAGGAGACAUCAUUGUAUCACCUAAAGUAAGCAUGUUAAAUGCCGGGUCUUCAGGCUUCCGCAGUCACAGAUUUCACAGUGCCGAGCACAGUGAUACAGAAAUAUAGGUAGUGAUAUUACACAAGAAAGACUCAAGCUUGUGCAAGCUGUUGCAGAAUGCAGCUGAGCCGAAACAGUUGGUACUUCCUAUUUUGUUCAGCCAUUUCCUGUAAAGUAUACGCCUGUAAAAAGGCUAGACACCAGUAAGAAGGGCUGCAUAGGGCAUCAGCCAUGGCAAUGGUACUGUUGUGGACCCUGUUGUGGAUAUCAGGAUACUGUCACAGACUUUCAGCUGAUGCACUGGUGCAGUAUAAAUACUUCCUUUCUGGGGAGAGACAGGGGGUCUCCCCCCUCCAGAAUUCAUCUGGGAGUAUUUGUAAAUGCAAUCCUUGUGGCCUCAGCUGAUAAAUACGAGAAUGCUUUGAUUUCCAUGGAGGUAGAUAAAGAGAGAUUCUCAUCUGAGUGCUACGAUGGAUAUAAUUUCCCUCUGAGAAUCUCACAAGUGAAGUUUGGAGACAGUGGAAGGUACUUGUGUUUUUGUGAAUCCUACCCAAUGGCCUCAGUAACUCUGGGAACUGUUCAGGGUAAGUUUGCACUUCAGGUUUUGAUUAUACUUACACAAUUUACAGAGCUAAAUAAAUACUUAAACGUGAUGUUCAUUAAAGUAGCCUUUUUUACAAUAUGCUGUGCCAUGUAAUGUAACAGACUACAGCCAUGGGCUAACAGUAAGCAACAGAAGUGUUGAUCCCAAGCCAUAAAGGUAGUGCACUUCACAGAAACUCCAUGAAUAAUAAAGGAUGCUAUCUAAAUAAAAAAGAUUUAUCUGAAAAAUGAACAAACAAAUAAAUAAAUAAAUAAAUAAAUAAAUAAAUAAUCCACGUACAUGUGCUCUCUCAGUCUCAGCAGAGCCCCCUGGUGGUCUAUCCAGGAAUCAGUCAUUUGUGCUGAACUGUGAGAUAUCACAGGGCCCUAGUGGGCAGCUCAUGCUUUAGGCGGGGAGGAGUGCAGGGACACUAGUGGUCAGAUCACGCUUUAAGGCCCAGGGGCCCUAGUGGUCAGCUCACUCUUUAAAUACCAAGGGUCCUGGGGGCCCUCACAUUGUAAGCGGCGAGGGGUCUGGGGGGCCCUAGUGGUGAGCUCACAUUUUAAACACCAAGGGGCCCGGGGACCCUUACGUUGUAAGCGCUGAGGGGUCUGGGGGGCCCUAGUGGUUAGCUCAUGCUAUAAGCACCCAGGGGCCUGGUGGUCAGCUUGCGCUGUGCGCACUGAGGGCCCUGGCGUUCAGCUUCCUUCGGAAGUCUUGGGCCACACACCACCGCACGCGGCCUGAGGCCUGGAGGCCCCCUGCCAGUCCGAGGCCCCGGGGCACUGGCCCCACUGGCCCGGUCCAUAAUCCAGCCAUUCCUGAACCCUAACGUCUGUGUAUUACUACAGGUACAUCUGCUGCUCCUGAAAAAAAUGCAGAAAAAAACAGUUUUAUUUUAGAUUGCUGCAAAUUCAUGUAGUUUUUGUAUCCUUUCUAUAAUUGUUUUUAAUGUUUGGUGUCUGUAUAAUACCUGGUUGUUUUUUAACUCUUUAUUCUUGAUGCUUUUGUCAGUUUAUUUUCUCUUGGUUGGAAAUAGCUCUGCAGACCCUUUAUAAAAAGCACUAUCAAAAUAAAGCAUCUUACUCAUUUUC